AGAGUUUGAUCCUGGCUCAGAAUAAACGCUGGCGGCGUGCCUAACACAUGCAAGUCGAACGAGAAAGGUGUCUUCGGAUGCUGAGUAAAGUGGCGAACGGGUGAGUAACGCGUGGAUGACCUGCCUUUUAGUGGGGGAUAACUCGGGGAAACCCGGGCUAAUACCGCAUGAGCCCGCGAGGGGAAAGGCUUUUUUUAGAAGUUGCUAGAAGAGGGGUCCGCGUCCGAUUAGCUAGUAGGUAAGGUAAAGGCUUACCUAGGCAACGAUCGGUAGCCGGUCUGAGAGGACGGACGGCCACACUGGGACUGAGACACGGCCCAGACUCCUACGGGAGGCAGCAGUGGGGAAUUUUGGGCAAUGGGGGCAACCCUGACCCAGCAACGCCGCGUGGAGGAUGAAAGUUUUCGAAUUGUAAACUCCUGUCCGGAGGGACGAAGUAAGUGACGGUACCUCUGGAGGAAGCCCCGGCUAACUCCGUGCCAGCAGCCGCGGUAAUACGGGGGGGGCAAGCGUUGUUCGGAAUUACUGGGCGUAAAGGGCGCGUAGGCGGUUUUGGAAGUUAUGGGUGAAAGCCCCCGGCUUAACCGGGGAAUGGCCUGUAAAACCACGGAACUGGAGUGCUGGAGAGGGAAGUGGAAUUCCCAGUGUAGCGGUGAAAUGCGUAGAUAUUGGGAGGAACACCAGUGGCGAAGGCGGCUUCCUGGACAGACACUGACGCUGAGGCGCGAAAGCCAGGGGAGCAAACGGGAUUAGAUACCCCGGUAGUCCUGGCUGUAAACGAUGAAUACUUGGUGUGGGGGGUAUAGAAGUCCCUCUGUGCCGAAGAGAACUCGAUAAGUAUUCCGCCUGGGGAGUACGGCCGCAAGGCUGAAACUCAAAGGAAUUGACGGGGGCCCGCACAAGCGGUGGAGCAUGUGGUUUAAUUCGACGCAACGCGAAGAACCUUACCGGGGUUUGAACUGUAUCGGCAACCUGAUAAGAAGCAGGGUUCCCUUAGGGGACUGAUACAGAGGUGCUGCAUGGCUGUCGUCAGCUCGUGUCGUGAGAUGUUGGGUUAAGUCCCGCAACGAGCGCAACCCUUGUCUGUAGUUGCCAUCAGGUGAAGCUGGGCACUCUACGGAGACUGUCGGCGAAAAGCCGGAGGAAGGUGGGGAUGACGUCAAGUCCUCAUGGCCUUUAUGUCCCGGGCUACACACGUGCUACAAUGGAUGGAACAGAGGGCUGCGAACUCGCGAGAGUAAGCGAAUCCCAGAAAUCCAUUCUCAGUUCGGAUUGCAGUCUGCAACUCGACUGCAUGAAGUUGGAAUCGCUAGUAAUCGCGGAUCAGAACGCCGCGGUGAAUACGUUCCCGGGCCUUGUACACACCGCCCGUCACAUCACGAAAGUGGGCUGUACUAGAAGCCGCCGGCCUAACCCUUUAUUGGGAGGGAGGCGUCGACGGUAUGGCUCAUGAUUGGGGUGAAGUCGUAACAAGGUAACC
rnacentral:rRNA from 1 species